CAGCAGCCGCGGUAAUACGAAGGGUGCAAGCGUUAAUCGGAAUUACUGGGCGUAAAGCGUGCGUAGGCGGUCUUUUAAGUCUGCUGUGAAAUCCCCGGGCUCAACCUGGGAAUGGCAGUGGAUACUGGGAGGCUAGAGUGUGAGAGAGGAUGGUGGAAUUCCCGGUGUAGCGGUGAAAUGCGUAGAGAUCGGGAGGAACAUCAGUGGCGAAGGCGGCCAUCUGGCUCAACACUGACGCUGAGGCACGAAAGCGUGGGGAGCAAACAGGAUUAGAUACCCUGGUAGUCCACGCCCUAAACGAUGCGAACUGGAUGUUGGUCUCAACUCGGAGAUCAGUGUCGAAGCUAACGCGUUAAGUUCGCCGCCUGGGGAGUACGGUCGCAAGACUGAAACUCAAAGGAAUUGAC
rnacentral:rRNA from 1 species